rnacentral:tRNA from 2 species
GUCAACGUGCCAGAGUGGUUAAUGGGCUGCCCUGCUAUUGAGUCUUGAGAGAUCCUGACGGUAAGCAUAGGCAGUGGCUUCGGUCGCGCAAGUUCGAAUCUUGUCGUUGACG